rnacentral:rRNA from 1 species
UACAGAGGGGGCAAGCGUUGUUCGGAAUUACUGGGCGUAAAGGGCGCGUAGGCGGCCCUUCUAAGUCGAACGUGAAAUCCCCGGGCUCAACCCGGGAACUGCGUCCGAUACUGGAAGGCUUGAAUCCGGGAGAGGGAUGCGGAAUUCCAGGUGUAGCGGUGAAAUGCGCAGAUAUCAGGAGGAACACCGGUGGCGAAGGCGGGUCUCUGGGCCGAUACUGACGCUGAGGAGCGAAAGCGUGGGGAGCGAACAGG